rnacentral:rRNA from 1 species
GAUGAACGCUGACAGAAUGCUUAACACAUGCAAGUCUACUUGAACUUCGGUUUGUGUUGCGGACGGGUGAGUAACGCGUAUAGAACUUGCCUCACAGUUAGGGACGACAUGUGGAAACGAAUGCUAAUACCUGAGAUUAUGAUGUUAGGGCAUCCUAGGAGUAUGAAAGCUAUAUUUGCUGUGAGAGAGCUUUGCGGCCCAUUAGCUAGUUGGAGAGGUAACGGCUCACCAAGGCGAGGAUGGGUAGCCGCACUGAGAGGGUGAAAGGGCACAAGGGGACUCAGACACGACCAGUGCGCAUACGUGAGGAAGGAGCGAGGAAUAUUGCAAAAUGGACCAAAAGUGUGAUCAAGGAAUUCGGUGUGUAAAAUGACGUUUUUCGGAAUGUAAAGUGCUUUCAUUUGGGAAGAAAAAAAUGACGGUACCAACAGAAGAAGUGACGGCUAACUACGUG